CGUGGUGGCGGAGAUCGUCCCAUGCCGUUAGCCCGAGGCAGUGCCGUACUCCUCGUGAACACGGACCAGCGGCGGUUGGACUGGAGCCAAAAGGCAAUGGGGAAGGUGAGUUGAUGUGGGCCUGUCUCACAUUGACAGCUUAUAGCCCUAGCUGCAUGGUGCUCCGGCCUGACCGAGGAAGUUGGGCAGCCCUUGCCCAYUGUGGUACACGCCGAAUGGCGGGGCCUCCCAACACGAGCUAGCCGUGCGGUGUGGACUGCAYGCAGUGCUCACCGUGGCGGUGAUCUCGUGGUG
rnacentral:rRNA from 1 species